rnacentral:rRNA from 1 species
AGCGAACGCUGGCGGCAGGCCUAACACAUGCAAGUCGAGCGCCGUAGCAAUACGGAGCGGCAGACGGGAGAGUAACACGUGGGAACGUGCCCUUCAGUUCGGAACAACCCAGGGAAACUUGGGCUAAUACCGGAUACGUCCGUAAGGAGAAAGAUUUAUCGCUGAAGGAUCGGCCCGCGUCUGAUUAGCUAGUUGGUGAGGUAACGGCUCACCAAAGCGACGAUCAGUAGCUGGUCUGAGAGGAUGAUCAGCCUCACUGGGACUGAGACACGGCCCAGACUCCUACGGGAGGCAGCAGUGGGGAAUAUUGGACAAUGGGCGCAAGCCUGAUCCAGCCGUGCCGCGUGGAUGAUGAAGGCCCUAGGGUUGUAAAGUCCUUUCGGCGGGGAAGAUAAUGACGGUACCCGCAGAAGAAGCCCCGGCUAACUUCGUGCCAGCCGCCGCGGUAACAC